rnacentral:rRNA from 1 species
UGGGGAAUUUUGGACAAUGGGCGCAAGCCUGAUCCAGCCAUGCCGCGUGUCUGAAGAAGGCCUUCGGGUUGUAAAGGACUUUUGUCAGGGAAGAAAAGGAUAGGGUUAAUACCCCUGUCUGAUGACGGUACCUGAAGAAUAAGCACCGGCUAACUACGUGCCAGCAGCCGCGGUAAUACGUAGGGUGCGAGCGUUAAUCGGAAUUACUGGGCGUAAAGCGGGCGCAGACGGUUACUUAAGCAGGAUGUGAAAUCCCCGGGCUCAACCUGGGAACUGCGUUCUGAACUGGGUGACUAGAGUGUGUCAGAGGGAGGUAGAAUUCCACGUGUAGCAGUGAAAUGCGUAGAGAUGUGGAGGAAUACCGAUGACGAAGGCAGCCUCCUGGGAUAACACUGACGUUCAUGCCCGAAAGCGUGGGUAGCAAACAGGAUUAGAUACCCUGGUAGUCCACGCCCUAAACGAUGUCGAUUAGCUGUUGGGCAGCUUGACUGCUUAGUAGCGAAGCUAACGCGUGAAAUCGACCGCCUGGGGAGUACGGUCGCAAGAUUA